UCAUUCAAAUCAGGAAAGCACCUUCCUCAACACAUAUCAGAAUGGAGCACCUACCUUAUUUGAAGCAGAUACUCAAAUGGAAACAAAUCCAGGUGCCAGAGAAAGAGAGACACUCCAAACAGCCCGGAGCUGGAUGUGGCAAUGGUCCCCACCCCCCACCAGUGGAAAUCACAUCUCAUCUCCGACGUGUAUCUUGAGUCUCCAGUGAUGACGGUAAGGCUAAUAGACUAACCUGAGAUAGUUGGGGGAGAGUUAGGCAUGAUGCUUUCCUUUCCUUAUCAGUAACAUGGCUUCUAAUGUAAUAGUCAUUGUAGAGAAAAAGCUGUUGCCAAAAUCCCAGAUUCCUUUGUUUGGUACAUGCCUCAAACUCAAGUUAAUUCAUCCUCUCCUUCCACAGUCUGUCCCUGACGAUGGCGUCCCAGCUGCAGGACUUCAGUCAUUGUUCUCCUUGACCCCACAGAAAUCAUGGCUGGUGGUUCUGAAGCCCUGGAAGAAAUGUACCUCCCUAACCCCACCUCACUCCACACACAAUUACACUCAGGGUUAA
rnacentral:lncRNA from 1 species